UACGAAGGGGGCUAGCGUUGUUCGGAAUCACUGGGCGUAAAGCGCACGUAGGCGGAUCUUUUAAGUCAGGGGUGAAAUCCCGAGGCUCAACCUCGGAACUGCCUUUGAUACUGGAGAUCUCGAGUUCGGGAGAGGUGAGUGGAACUGCGAGUGUAGAGGUGAAAUUCGUAGAUAUUCGCAAGAACACCAGUGGCGAAGGCGGCUCACUGGCCCGAUACUGACGCUGAGGUGCGAAAGCGUGGGGAGCAAACAGGG
rnacentral:rRNA from 1 species